rnacentral:rRNA from 1 species
UACGAAGGGUGCAAGCGUUAAUCGGAAUUACUGGGCGUAAAGCGCACGCAGGCGGUGGGUUAAGUCAGAUGUGAAAGCCCCGGGCUCAACCUGGGAAUUGCAUUUGAAACUGGCCAACUAGAGUACGUGAGAGGGGGGUAGAAUUCCAAGUGUAGCGGUGAAAUGCGUAGAGAUUUGGAGGAAUACCAGUGGCGAAGGCGGGUCCCUGGCACGAUACUGACGCUCAGGUGCGAAAGCGUGGGGAGCAAACAGG